rnacentral:rRNA from 1 species
GACAGAGGUGCCGAGCGUUAGGCGGAAUCACUGGGCUUAAAGCGUGUGUAGGCGGGUCGUUAAGUGCCUUGUGAAAUCCCACAGCUCACCUGUGGAACUGCUUGGCAUACUGGCGGUCUUGAGCCACUUAGGGGCAACCGGAACAAACGGUGGAGCGGUGAAAUGCGUAGAUAUCACUUGGAACGCCAAAGGUGAAAACAGUCUGCUGGGGAUCUGCUGACGCUGAGACACGAAAGCCAGGGGAGCGAACGGG